ensembl:lncRNA
UUUUUUUUUUUUUUUUACACACCUACUAGCAACUUUUGCUAAUAUAUUCUCUGCUAUACAAAUGUCUAAAUGUUCACUUCAAAACAGUAGCGGAGAAUAAGUACUCCCAUUUUAUUCAAUAGGAAGUUUUAUACAAUAGGAAACAAUAAAAUAAAGCACCUACAAUUUAGAAUGAGAAAGACCUGCUUUUGAGUUUUGGUUCAUCUACUAGUUGUCUGACCUUGGGGAAAUUACUUAACAACUCUGAACUUCGGCUCUCUUAGCUUUGAAAUACAGAUAAUAGUAGAUACCUAAUUGGGUAGUUGUGUUAAUACAGAAUUUAUGUGAAUAUACUGUACAGCCUGAUUCACUUUAGAUACUCAAUAUUAGCUAUUCUCAUGAUUACUUGUUAUUGAUAGAAAAACAUUUUUAACUUCUGAUUUUAUGGUUAGUGCUUUUCUGAAUGUGUAAUUCAGGGGACAAAGCUUAGGCUUGGACCAGCAAAAUUGGUAUUUGAAUCCUGAGUGUUCUGUGAAGUGCAAGAAAAGCCACUUAACCUCUCUGAACCAGAGCUACUUCCAAUGGGAAAUGUGAAUACGAAUGCCUACCUUGCCAGAUUAUUACAAUGACUGAAUGAGGCCAUUCUUCUCAGCACAUGGUAAACAUUCACUGAAUAGUAACUCCUAGUAUUUAUACAGAAUGGGAGGUCCCCCUGUGGUUCAAUGGGAUUGGUGGCCUCUCUGCAGCAUAGGGAUGGAGGUUUGAUUUCUAACCCGGCCCAGUAGGCCCUGUGUUGCUGCAGCUCUGGUGUAGGUUGCAACUGCAGCUUGGAUCUGAUCCCUAGCCUGGGAACUCCAUAUGCCUCGAGGAGGCCAAAAAAAAAAAAAAAAAUGUAUAGUAGGAUAGAAAAAUAGGAUUGUCUUCAGUUGCUAUUCUUGUUGGUUAGCAGUGGGCUGGCAUGUUCUAUGAGAAGGGCUCCAGUAUUUACUAGUCUCUACAUGCAUGCAGUAUUAACCAAUAAACUGAUUAUCAUUAAGUAGAUCUAAAUAUCCCCAAAUAAGUGCAUACAGCAUUGAAAAGACAAAGUAUUCUGCAAUUAUACGUAUUUUAAGAACUGGACAUAUAAAGCAAUCGCUGUGGUCUGGGUUUUGUUUCUGUUUUCCUAUAAAAGGUGUUGGAGUAAAGAGAGUAGUGAGAAGAUCUGGAAAAGCAGCAACAACAAAAGAAGGACCAAUACUCUCUUAUUUUCCUCCAAAUCUGUCAUUUGGCAAAGCAUGUAGAUUAUUAGAAACUCAGUUACUGCCCUUGGUGUCACCAAUGAAACUUUUUUUUUUUCCUUUUAAGCUCCCACCUCUGGCCUAUGGAAGUUCUCAGGCUAGGGGUUGAAUCAGAAGUGCAGCUGCAGGCCUAUGCCAAAGCCACAGCAAUGCCAGAUCCUUAACCCACUGAGGGAGGCCAGGGAUCAAACUCAUGGACACUAUGUCAGGUUCUUAACCUGCUGAGCCACAAUGGCAAACAUUUUAAGUUAACUUAUUUCUAUUCUUUCUAUCAGUGACAGCAAUGACCAUAGAUGGAGUGAAGGGUAGAGACCUUAAGGUAACAAAGGUUUAUCAAGGGUGAUUCUAAAAGAUCCCCCUUGACAAAGAACUGCUGUUAAUACAGCAUAUAU